UGAUUGGAAGGAGGGUGUACCUGCACACUGACAAAAGUCGUAUAAUAUCUGGACCGUGAUUUCUGGUUGAAAGCUACUCUACAAGAACACUUCCUUCAGGCUGCUGGUCUGGACUAAUUGAAGGCAACAGAAAAUCAUUAACAAAAAGACUCUGCUUACAAGAAUAUGGUCAUAUCUCAGAUGCCAGCCUUUUUGUGUGGUAGACAGAAAGUCAUGAAUUGAAGGCACAAUCCAGAAACUGGAACAUGAAAUCCAGAG